GAGGAAUUUACGUCAAUGGGGGAAACCCUGAACGAGCAACGCCGCGUGCAGGAGGAAGGUUUUCGGAUCGUAAACUGCUUUUCCUGGGGAAGAGAACGGACGGUACCCAGGGAAUAAGCCCCGGCUAACUACGUGCCAGCAGCCGCGGUAAUACGUAGGGGGCAAGCGUUGUCCGGAUUUAUUGGGCGUAAAGCGCACGCAGGCGGUCUUGUAAGUUUCGAGUGACAGGUGGUGGCUUAACUGCCACAGGCCUUGGAAAACUGCAAGACUUGAGCACUGAAGAGGGACGCGGAAUUCCAGGUGGAGCGGUGAAAUGCGUAGAGAUCUGGAAGAACACCAAAGGCGAAGGCAGCGUCCUGGUCAGUGGCUGACGCUGAUGUGCGAAAGCCAGGGGAGCGAAC
rnacentral:rRNA from 1 species